CCCCUUUUUGGGUAAGUCCUUGAUCUUCAUAGGAAAAGAAAGGUGAGAGAGGAAUCUUAGCUCCCACCUAGCUGCACUUCGAGCGGGCCUGGAUUUGAUGUCUGGGCCGACGGGCUGCCCGAAACGGGCCCUAAAUUGGGCCUGGAGAAAAGGCCCGAAAUGCACUCCACAAUUUAUAUUUUCCUUUCCUUGUUUUCUUUCUUUAAGGACUUUGAUCCAUGUAACCUAUUCCAUUAGUUGUUCAUUUUGUUGCC